GAUGAACGCUGGCGGCGUGCCUAAUACAUGCAAGUCGAGCGAACAGACGAGGAGCUUGCUCCUCUGACGUUAGCGGCGGACGGGUGAGUAACACGUGGAUAACCUACCUAUAAGACUGGGAUAACUUCGGGAAACCGGAGCUAAUACCGGAUAAUAUAUUGAACCGCAUGGUUCAAUAGUGAAAGACGGUUUUGCUGUCACUUAUAGAUGGAUCCGCGCCGCAUUAGCUAGUUGGUAAGGUAACGGCUUACCAAGGCAACGAUGCGUAGCCGACCUGAGAGGGUGAUCGGCCACACUGGAACGGAGACACGGUCCAGACUCCUACGGGAGGCAGCAGUAGGGAAUCUUCCGCAAUGGGCGAAAGCCUGACGGAGCAACGCCGCGUGAGUGAUGAAGGUCUUCGGAUCGUAAAACUCUGUUAUUAAGGAAGAACAAAUGUGUAAGUAACUAUGCACGUCUUGACGGUACCUAAUCAGAAAGCCACGGCUAACUACGUG
rnacentral:rRNA from 1 species